UAGUCCCUACGGGGCGCAGCAGUGAGGAAUAUUGGUCAAUGGGCGGGAGCCUGAACCAGCCAAGUCGCGUGAGGGACGACGGUCCUAUGGAUUGUAAACCUCUUUUGUCGGGGAACAAAGGCGCCCACGGGUUGGCGGAUGAGUGUACCCGAAGAAAAAGCAUCGGCUAACUCCGUGCCAGCAGCCGCGGUAAUACGUAGGUGGCAAGCGUUGUCCGGAUUUAUUGGGCGUAAAGCGAGUGCAGGCGGUUCAAUAAGGCUGAUGUGAAAGCCUUCGGCUCAACCGGAGAAUUGCAUC
rnacentral:rRNA from 1 species